UGCGUAGGUGGCCCGGUAAGUCAGUGGUGAAAGUUUGCAGCUUAACUGUAAAAUUGCCAUUGAUACUGUCGGGCUUGAGUCUGGUGGAGGUAGGCGGAAUGUGUAGUGUAGCGGUGAAAUGCUUAGAUAUUACACAGAACACCGAUUGCGAAGGCAGCUUACUAUACCAGUACUGACACUGAUGCACGAAAGCGUGGGGAGCGAACAGGAUUAGAUACCCUGGUAGUCC
rnacentral:rRNA from 1 species